rnacentral:rRNA from 1 species
GACGGAGGGCGCAAGCGUUGUUCGGAAUUACUGGGCGUAAAGCGCACGCAGGUGGUCCUUUAAGUCCACUGUUAAAUCACGGGGCUCAACCCCGGAGGUGCAGCGGAUACUGAGGGACUGGAGACCGGUAGAGGCUAGCGGAAUUCCUGGUGUAGCGGUGGAAUGCGUAGAUAUCAGGAGGAACACCGGUGGCGAAGGCGGGUCUCUGGGCCGAUACUGACGCUGAGGAGCGAAAGCGUGGGGAGCGAACAGG